CCACCACCACCCACCACCGCCCAACGCCCCCACCGUGUCGCCACCCACAACUACAAAGAUGCCCUCACCAAAUCCAUCAUGUUCUUUGUAGGCCAAAGGUCCGGUAAACUCCCCCGAAAUCAAAGAAUCACUUGGAGAAAAAACUCCGGCUUCUCUGACGGCGCCGUCGUCGAUCUAAGCAACGAGAGUUUUGAUCUGCAUCUUGUUUGUGUAGAUUGCGUUUUAUUGAAAUCAGAUCCCCAUAUCACAUCAAAUCGCCUUCACUCUCUUGCUCCGAAACGCUUCGUCGAAAAAUCGCCUUCGCCGGAACUCCUUGUAUCUCGUCGUUCAACGCCAACCGAAGUGUUAUGUCAUCAAGAUUCGCCAUGUCCUCAUCUCCACCUCAUCAAGUCUGUGCCACGUCGGACAAAAAACAAACCAAGUUAGUGCAGAUUUAACUGGGUGGUGCCAGUGCAAACAAAAAGUCAAGUUGGGGGUGCCGGAUGUCAAAGUGUUAGUUGUGGGUGGCAACAGCCAAAGGGCGAUAGAUGGGAGUGAUAAAAUCCAAUAACCCAAUAAAAAAGGCAGUUCGUACGCAUUCAUUACUUUUUAACAACAACUAGUUUUAUAAA